UUGCUGUGAUGAAUGCUAAAACUUAUUGAAAGCUUAAUGCCUGAUGAAAUGUCGACAAUCAUGUCGAUCCUGAGCGGUUACCUGAGCAA